AGAGAGUUUUGGAGGAUAGGUGGUAAGAAAAAGCAUUUGGUAAAAUGGCGGUACGCACACUCUUCUUUGUCUUCUCUGUGCCGGCAAUUCUCUCCCUCGCUAGAAGUCUCAAAGCCAAACCUUUCUUCUUCGUUUUCCUCUCAUUGAAAGUCGACAAAUUUUUGAAGACCUGCAACUUCAAUCCUCUUAAAACUCCGCUUCAAGAGUAAUCCAAAUGGAAGACCGCUACUUAGUAGUUAUCAAUCAAGUAGCUGCUGCUGCUGCUGCUGCUGUUGACUCUCCAAUGUCAAAUGUGAGCUUAAGGCUGGUCGAGAAGAAGGGAAAGAGAAAUGGAGGAGGGGAUCUCCGCCGGACAAAGCUAUAUUUAUGGGUUCGGCAUAUGAAUCAAAACAGAGAUCGCACUCCGUUACCGGUGUAAGAAAAGGGUUUGAAGGUUGCCAGACUCUAAUGUCACAUCCCAAAUUGCGAGUAUUGCCGGAGCUUUGCCAAAGUUAUGGGGAGAUUUAUUGGCAUUUGAUUAUAUUUAGCUUCAAGAAGAAAACGACCGUGCAAAAGUUGAGUUUUUCAAACGGGAAACAAAUAGGCUUAGGAUGUGAAAUGACUGCAAUAGUAAGAAACAAGGAAUAUGAACCCCAUAUUUUCUUCCUUGCUGUCGACACCUUGUCAAAAUUGGAUGCAGUCUAGUGGCUGCCUUUUUGUGAAUUUUUUUGGCAAUUUAAUAAAAGUAGCCUGAAAUACUAUAACAUGUAAAGUAGAAACACUCUGGAUUCUAGUUUCUCUACUCCUAGAAGAAUAUGUAAAUGCAAUAACAUUUACUUUUGCAUCAAAAAUUUAUGAUUCAGGAAUUUUUAUGCCCUCUGGGAAAUCUUGACCUCCUUUGUCAAAUUUGAAAUUGGAGAAAUUCUGUUUGCAAUUGCUUUUGUCAUUCUUGAAUUUUGUUGCUAAUUUUAUCAUACGGAAUGUCUUUUAGGUUUUCUUUGAGUAUCAUACCUAGUUCAUUUUGCCUUAGUAUGUCUACUAAGAAAUGGUUUAAUGUCAAUAAUGAUGGCAUAUUUUAAUAAGUAGCAGAUUGGCUUUUUACUUCAGUGUUAGCUGAUAUCUAGUUGCUCCUUUGGUGGUGAAAUUUAAGACCCACCAUUGAAUCAUAUUCUUAUGAUGAUAUUCGAGAUUCCUGAACUUUCGGUUGAUAUUGAACUCCCUAAAGGGACUUUAGAGCUUGAACGUCAAAACAGAGAUGCUGGGAGCAUCUUAUGCACUAUAUAGAUGGAUUGUGAUUUGUGGUUCCUUCCACUAUGGCGUUGGUAGUUUUUAGAUAAAAAUGUGGGUAUACUUAAUAUUUCAUAAGAGUAAUAACUGUUUUACAGGAAAGUGAAUGAUUUAGUGAGCCGCAAGUAGAGGAUCAAAUAGAGGCUUGCUCAGGACUUGCUUGUUUUCUUGCUAUCCCAUCAAAUUAACAGAGGUUUUGGAGCCACAAGUAUGCCAUAUAGGAGCAGGAUAAAAUAGUGCAUCACCAUAAUUUGUUUAGAGAAUCUGUUUUUCUAGAUUCAUGAAAUACUUUAUUUUGAAUUUUGAUGUUGUGUGGAAGUUAGCUAGCAUAAUUUAUCCUGAAAUCAAGAAAAGUUAAUAUUUUCCAAGUCAGAUGCCUUGUUUAAACCUGAAAAGGGGGUGGUUUAGAAGCAUUAUCCAACAUCUGUAUUUGUUGAUAUUCUCCAUGUCUAGUGAUUGAUAACCUUCUGACGAAAAUUCUGAUCUUCAAAAAGGGAAAGUAGGUUGCUUCGCCUUCUCUGGCAAUUGAUUUGGUUGCGAAUGGCUUCUAAUUUUGUUAUACUUGGAACUCAAUUACAACAUCUAUUUCUUGAUAUCUUAGAUAUUGACAUAAAUAUUAGAUAAGAUAUGAAUUUCACUUAAAAUGAUAUGGAACUUCAAAAAUUUCCCAUUUUGGAAAUCAUUAUUGCGUUUAGCAAACUAAUAAACUCUGAGAAAAAGUUGUAUGUAACGUGUCAUGAUACAAAUUUCCUUUGACCGCUGCUUUUGAUGCUGAAUUGGUGAAGAAUCCAACUUAGAAAACUGUUCCAGCUUCUUUUGACUUUUGGUACUCUUUAAUAAUGUUGUAUGUCAUGACAUGAAAAUGCCUUUCUCUAUAGUGAAAUUGGAUGUCUACACUACUUUUCUAAUUUCCAUUUCGUUUUUGACAUGGCAAAAACAUGCUAUUAAAAUGAAUAUAUAUCAUGUUAUGCAUACGAAUUUAGAUCCUAGGAUAGCGUAGUUUAAUUGCAUGUGAGAAAAAGUAUAAAAGGUUGCAAUAGUUAUAUUGUUUUCUUUUGGAUGAGCUUUUAAAGCUCGUGCCAUUUUGGUAUCAGCCAUGGAGAAGCUUGAGGCUGCUGGUUGCUCUCUCACUGUACUGUAUUGCCUUCUGGCCACAAGAAGUAAGUGAAACCAUCAGUUGCUAAGAAGCAAGCACCUUGCUUAAACUGAGAAAUACUUUGCAAAGAACAAGGCUGCAGCCGCUAGUCUGCUACAUCUCAGCCAGGCUUUGUUUGAAACGUUUUAUUGUAGAAUUACUUUUAAGAUGACUUAACAUUGCAGUUAGAGAUAUAACAGGGCGUUCAUAUUCUUCUUUAUUAGAGUUUUUAAGUGCUUGUACUAUUCUGUAAUAUCUUGCUUUUGUAUCUUCAGUUCAUUCAGAGCCCUUCUAUAA